UGACCUAUAUUAAAUAUAAAUUUUACUUGAGCCUAGGCAGAAGGGCAUUCACCCCUUCUACAGCAUGCUGUCUUGUCAGUAAAAAGCCGAAGCCAGUUUCUCGAACCAUGUUUGGACACAUGCAUCCGGAAUGCUGUGCUUGAGCAGA
rnacentral:lncRNA from 1 species